AGAGUUUGAUUCUGGCUAAGGACGAACGUUGGCGGUGUGUCUAAGGCAUGCAAGUCGAACGAGUUCGCUUUCUUCGGAAAGCAUAUAUCUAGUGGCAGACGGCUGAGUAACGCGUAAGUAACUUACCCUUGAGUGGGGAAUAACACAGAGAAAUCUGUGCUAAUACCGCAUACGAUUUAUUAAUAAUUUUUAUAAAUGAAAGAUUUAUCGCUCUUGGAUGGGCUUGCGUCCUAUCAGGUUGUUGGCGGGGUAAUGGCCCACCAAGCCUAAGACGGGUAGCUGGUGUGAGAGCACGACCAGCCAGAGGGGGACUGAGACACGGCCCCCACUCCUACGGGAGGCAGCAGCUAAGAAUAUUGCACAAUGGACGAAAGUCUGAUGCAGCGACACCGCGUGAAGGAUGAAGGCCCUAGGGUUGUAAACUUCUUUUAUUAGGGAAUAGCAAGGAAGGUACCUAAUGAAUAAGCAACGGCUAACUACGUGCCAGCAGCCGCGGUAAUACGUAGGUAGCGAACGUUGUCCGGAAUCACUGGGCGUAAAGGGUCCGUAGGCGGUUUAAUAAGUCUCAUAUGAAAGCUCCAAGCUCAACUUGGAGAUGUUGUGAGAUACUGUUAGACUUGAGGCUGUUAGAGGCAAGUGGAAUUCCAGGUGUAGUGGUGAAAUGCGUAGAUAUCUGGAGGAACACCAGUGGCGAAAGCGACUUGCUGGGACAGUUCUGACGCUAAGGGACGAAAGCGUGGGGAGCAAACCGGAUUAGAUACCCGGGUAGUCCACGCUGUAAACGAUGAUUGCUAGGUUUUCGAGGCAUCGACCCCUCGUGAGCCGAAGUUAACGCGUUAAGCAAUCCGCCUGAGUAGUACGGCCGCAAGGCUAAAACUCAAAGGAAUUGACGGGGGACCGCACAAGCAGCGGAGCGUGCGGUUUAAUUCGAUGGUAAGCGAAGAACCUUACCU
rnacentral:rRNA from 1 species